AUUGAACGCUGGCGGCAGGCCUCACACAUGCAAGUCGAACGAGUGGCGGACGGGUGAGUAAUGUCUGGGAAACUGCCCGAUGGAGGGGGAUAACUACUGGAAACGGUAGCUAAUACCGCAUACCAUCGGAUGUGCCCAGAUGGGAUUAGCUAGUAGGUGGGGUAACGGCUCACCUAGGCGACGAUCCCUAGCUGGUCUGAGAGGAUGACCAGCAACACUGGAACUGAGACACGGUCCAGACUCCUACGGGAGGCAGCAGUGGGGAAUAUUGCACAAUGGGCGCAAGCCUGAUGCAGCCAUGCCGCGUGUGUGAAGAAGGCCUUCGGGUUGUAAAGCACUUUCAGCGGGGAGGCGUUACCCGCAGAAGAAGCACCGGCUAACUCCGUGCCAGCAGCCGCGGUAAUAC
rnacentral:rRNA from 1 species